CCUCUGAUCCCUCCUUGGGCUCUCUUGCAUGUCUGGGGAAGAAAUGUGCUCCGAAGAGCCACCUGUCCAGAGGCUGUUAUCUCCCAAAUCGGAGGGUGUGCCGCUGAGGAGGAACUAGGAUUCAGUCAUGGCUCAGGCAGGCUGCAGCAGAUGCCAGGCUCAUAAAGGACUCCCAGGGAUACCCUAGGACCUUCUCUUAGAGUUGGAGCCUGGAGGAAUUCCAGUGGGCAGCCAGGAUGGUGAGCUGGCCCCCUGCCUCCCACAGUCCCUGCCCCACACCCACCCUGUCCUCUCAGGAAGACGCCCCUGUUCUUGUCUGCUCCUCCUGAGGUGGCACCACUGGAUGAGGGAGGCGGGGAAGGCCGCCUCCCGGCCUGCGUCCACCUGGGCUUCCUGGCUGCACCGGAGUCUCCGACGGCCACCCAGACAGAAUUGUUCCUAAAGUCUCCGCCAGGCCCCAUCCCGCAGGGAACGGUGCACAGAUCUUGGUGAAGGCCCCAGGACACUUGGGUGGCUUUUCCCUGGGUUUACCGUGGCGUGCCAGGGCCGCCGCGAGGACGAAGGCACAGCGGCGCAAAGCCCGCGUCGGAACAGCGCGCACACGCGGCUCCCGCCCGCCCCGCGGCUCAGCUCGGGCUGAGCCUCACGCCCCGCUCCGGAAGCGGCGCCCCUUCCUCCCCUCCGACACCCCGCCUGCCACCUCCACCCGGCCAAGCAGCAAUUACUCGCGAAGACGGCGGAGGGAGGGCCAAUUAGUGCGGGAGACGCGGCGGAUCCGCCGUGCCGCAGCUGACCGCAGCCCCCGCAGCGCCGCCGCCCCCGCCUCCGCUCUCCCGGCCCGGCAGACAGCGCCGGCCGCCUGGGAGCCCCGUGGGACCCGCCGUCGCCUCCCUCCAGCGGCAGUGAUAGAUCCAGUCGCCUGGCUCCGGGCCAGAGCCCGAGCGGACGCGAGGGCGCCGGGAGCUGAAACUCCCGCGGUGGCGGCGUGAGGACUGGGUCGGGAGUCGGGGGCGGCAGCGGAGGGGGGUCUCCCUCCCCCGAAGGGCUCCUGCGCCUGUGACGGCCCGAGCUUAGGCGCCAGUCAGCAGUCUCCCGGCUGGCGGGCGGCGGGCGGCAGGCGACGCGGUGGAGCGGAGCGGCCCCCAGUCUCUGGCAGCCGUGGAACCGAGGGAAGGCAGGCUGGUGAGGAGGCUGUCGGCUAGUAAUUCUGUCUAUUUGCAAGACACUAUUACAGCAUGAUGGGAAACCCUGCUUGCCAGCAUGGUUUGGAGCUUGGGAAAUUUGGGGAAUAAUCCAAGAACAGGACACGGUGUCGGUGUCGAGGCAUCAUCAGCACGGAGACAAAAGGAGAGAAGGUCUUGGUUUAUUCUUGGUUGGCGUUUCCUGUGUCUGAGACACUGAGAAGAGAAAUGGGGGAAGGAAGGAUUUUUAAGACUCAAGAAGAAAGAAAAUUCACUGCCAAAGAGAAAUUUGGCAACAGAUAUCAGAAACCUUAAAAUGUCAGUACUUUAUGACACAAUGGUUCUACUUCUGGAAAUUAACCCUAAAAACACUAUCCAAAACUUUUAAGAAAAAUCCUUAAGCACCAUGAUGUUCACAGAAGCCAAUUUUAUACCAGCGAAUAAUAGGAAACAACGUGAAUAAAUGCCCAACAUAGGAGAUCAGCCAGGAUGUCAUUAGGAUUUUUAUAUGAUUACAUGGGAAGAUAUCUAUGCCAUAAGGUUAGAUUAUAACAGUAUCCAAAACUGUUCUUUUUUGUUGUUGUUUUUUAAGAUUUUAUUUAUUUAUUUGACAGAGAGAGAAUGAACGAGAGAGGAAACACAAGCAGGAGGAGUGGGAGAAGGAGGAGAAGGCUUCCCCCUAAGCAGAGGGCCCUAUGUGGGGCUCAAUCCCAGGACCCUGGGAUC